rnacentral:rRNA from 1 species
GUAUGUCAUGAGCCAAAUGGAAGCAAUCUGCAAGUAUUGGUGUAUAUGGAGCCAGGAUGUCUGCAUCUCCAUUGCAAGCGUUGAUGACCUCCAGACAAUCUGAUUCAACUAGUACCCUCGAGCAUCCAAUAUGAUGAACAAGCUGAAGACCACUUCGGACAGCUAGAGCUUCUGCUGUCGCUGCACUUGCAGCAAAAUCAAACGGGUCAGCCACACCUGCAACUGC